UGGGGAAUAUUGCACAUUGGGCGCAAGCCUGAUGCAGCCAUGCCGCGUGUAUGAAGAAGGCCUUCGGGUUGUAAAGUACUUUCAGCGGGGAGGAAGGCGAUAAGGUUAAUAACCUUGUCGAUUGACGUUACCCGCAGAAGAAGCACCGGCUAACUCCGUGCCAGCAGCCGCGGUAAUACGGAGGGUGCAAGCGUUAAUCGGAAUUACUGGGCGUAAAGCGCACGCAGGCGGUCUGUCAAGUCGGAUGUGAAAUCCCCGGGCUCAACCUGGGAACUGCAUUCGAAACUGGCAGGCUAGAGUCUUGUAGAGGGGGGUAGAAUUCCAGGUGUAGCGGUGAAAUGCGUAGAGAUCUGGAGGAAUACCGGUGGCGAAGGCGGCCCCCUGGACAAAGACUGACGCUCAGGUGCGAAAGCGUGGGGAGCAAACA
rnacentral:rRNA from 1 species